rnacentral:rRNA from 1 species
AGAGUUUGAUCCUGGCUCAGGACGAACGCUGGCGGCGUGCUUAACACAUGCAAGUCGAACGGAAAGGCCCUUCGGGGUACUCGAGUGGCGAACGGGUGAGUAACACGUGGGUGAUCUGCCCUGCACUUUGGGAUAAGCCUGGGAAACUGGGUCUAAUACCGAAUAGGACCACGCGCUUCAUGAUGUGUGGUGGAAAGCUUUUGCGGUGUGGGAUGGGCCCGCGGCCUAUCAGCUUGUUGGUGGGGUAAUGGCCUACCAAGGCGACGACGGGUAGCCGGCCUGAGAGGGUGACCGGCCACACUGGGACUGAGAUACGGCCCAGACUCCUACGGGAGGCAGCAGUGGGGAAUAUUGCACAAUGGGCGCAAGCCUGAUGCAGCGACGCCGCGUGAGGGAUGACGGCCUUCGGGUUGUAAACCUCUUUCAAUAGGGACGAAGCGCAAGUGACGGUACCUAUAGAAGAAGCACCGGCCAACUACGUGCCAGCAGCCGCGGUAAUACGUAGGGUGCGAGCGUUGUCCGGAAUUACUGGGCGUAAAGAGCUCGUAGGUGGUUUGUCGCGUUGUUCGUGAAAACUCACAGCUUAACUGUGGGCGUGCGGGCGAUACGGGCAGACUAGAGUACUGCAGGGGAGACUGGAAUUCCUGGUGUAGCGGUGGAAUGCGCAGAUAUCAGGAGGAACACCGGUGGCGAAGGCGGGUCUCUGGGCAGUAACUGACGCUGAGGAGCGAAAGCGUGGGGAGCGAACAGGAUUAGAUACCCCGGUAGUCCAA